rnacentral:sRNA from 1 species
UGCUUGAUGAAGCAGGUCAUCAAUACGUG